rnacentral:piRNA from 1 species
UUAAUUUUGCGAGUAGAAAAU